CUCCACCCUUCUAACUCGCAGGGGCCUUCACCUCCCUUUCUCUGCCCAAGGCCUGGCCUGGCGGCCUACCUCCUCCAGCCGCAUGGCUCCCCUCCCCCGCUCAGCUCGGAGCUGGGCAGGGGAGGUCUGUUCUCUUCACGAACCGGAACCCAAGAGACUUUCCCCCCAGGAGUUCACAGCUUUUAACCCCCUGUGUUCUCAGAAGCGUAUCCAUAUCCUCAGUGGCCAUACCAGGUGCCAAUAUUCAAUUCUGAGCACCUAUUGGUUUGACCACAGCAUCCCAAAAACUCACUUCCUCUCAAACCACGACACCUUCAUUCUCACAUAUUGUGGGAGAGUUAGGGAUUGCGGCCGGAAGAUCUCGGGCUGUUACGCGUAGACAGGAAGACCCCUCCUCACCUUCAGUCUGACCUUGGCUACCUGGCCGCACCCAGGACAAGGGCAGAGGAAGUGACACAAACUACCUAAGCCAUAAAUACCCCUGAAACCUUUGAAUAAACGCCAUUUGCUAUCUACCAUAUUGGUGUCCGCAGCGCAUGGACCGAGUGACUCUGUAUUUGGGUCACCGUUCCGUACCCGAAAACCAGGUCGCCUCGUAGCUAGCGGCUACAUAUUGGUGCCGAUCCCGGGAUCCAGCACCCGGGGUGCGGGAGUCACCUGGACAGGGGCCGGCGGCCGCACAGCGGGUCUAGUGCGGCAGGGAGGACGCUCCCGGACCAGCGAGGGACAUGGAAGCCGUCGCGCAGGUCGUAACCCAAAUGCAUGUUCAGUGGGGAAUAGAAUGCAAACUCAAGGAUUUAUGCCUUGUAAUUUCGAGGCUUAUUAAAUUACAGGCGAUAGAUAGCCCUGUGGAUAUUCUCCAUCCGGAGAAAUGUGACCAUUGUACUAAGGUUUUAGCUGAAGAAACGAUGUCCUGUGGCUCGGGAAAAGCUCUUAAGUCAUGGGGCAGGGUUGUGCAAGCCUUGCAAAAGGCAAGAAAUGAGCAGGACACCUGGCAAGCGGCGAAAGCGUGGUUGCUGGCCACGCCGCAGCUGGGGGUGGCCGCGGCGACACAAACCGCGGAGCUCUUAGAACAAACCGGCAGCGAAAAGCCGCGAACGCCGGACCCCUCCGAGCAGAUCGGCUUACCAUCGGUGGGGGGGGAGAACGCGCUGUCGUUUUGGCAGGAACUCACGGAGGAGGCGAGGGAGGCGGCGAAACCGCCGAGCCCCAAAGGGGAGGACAGGAAUGCACCCCCUCCAUAUGUGUUUGAAAAUGGCGGGGAGGCGUGUACUCAGGGCAGAAAGGAACCCGCGCCGGGCGGAAACGGAGUCAGCCCGCUUAACAACGCAUGUGCGGGCGAGCGGGGGGACGGGGCGGCCCCCGCGCAGGAGCGUAUGAACAAUCAGAGCGCUCAGCUCACUUUCGGUCCUUAUAGGGCAAGGACCUCCCCCAGCAGGAGGCGGGGGGACCCCAGGGGGAGGGAACGGUCCGACCCCCGCAAGAAGGGGCGGGGUCGGAGCCCGAGAAAAAGGCGCAGCAGACCGGAAGUCUCCGAGCAGUCGACUUCCGACUGGGACUCGGAGUCGAGCUCCGAUUCGGAGGACUCGGAGCGGGGGUCGGGGAGCUCCGACUCAGACUCGAGUUCUAACAAAAGAACAGCAGCGGCACGCAAGGCAAUUAGCCGCAGCGCUCCCGCAUGGGUAAAGGGGACAUCAGAGAAAGAUCGAACCCCACUUACAGACUGGCGGAAAAUAAAAAUUGCAUGCGCAGAGUGGUCCCCGUCAGCGAAACUGGUGUUUCCGGUCCGGGUGGGGGGACCCGGCGGGAACCAAAGGUUCUAUUCUCCGGUAAACCCGAAAGACGUGCAGGCGAUUACAAAAGCGAUCGCGGAUAAGGGGAUUAAUUCUGCAAUGGUUUCAACUCUCAUUGAUGGCGUUUUUGGGGGGGACGACAUGCUACCUUUUGAUAUUAAGCAGACCUGCCGAAUGAUUUUUGACGGGGCAGGGAUGAUUUUAUUUAAGCAGGAGUGGGAAGAUAACUGUGCUAAACAGCUAGCCCUGGUAACAGGGGCAGACCACCCACUGCACGACUCCAGCAUACAGAGGCUAAUGGGCACAGACCCUGCAAUGAUUACCCCCCAGGCACAGGCAGAAGGCCUGAGGGCCCCAGAGAUUAUGACAACAACUCGGGCAGCCCGAGAAGCCAUCCGUGUUGCCUCUAAAGUAGUAGCCAAGCCUUCACCUUGGACUACAAUAAAACAGAGUGAGAGUGAAAGCUUCACUCAGUUUGUGGACCGUCUGCAGUCAGCCUUAGACGCCUCCACAUUACCCUCAGAGGCAAAAGGUCCAGUGCUGGCAGAGUGCCUACGCCAACAAUGUAACUCAGCCACAAAGGACAUUUUAAGAUCACUGCCACAGGGAUCUAACACAGCUGCCAUGAUCAGGCAUGUAGCUAAGGAGGAGCACCUUGCUCCCAUCCAAGCAGCAGUUCACACUGCAAUAACGAGUGUCAUGGCAUGCAUUAAGUGUGGCCAGGGUGGGCACGUGGCGAUAAACUGUCCCCGGUUAGGACACCCAUCAGCAGCUGCUCCCCCACAUCAGGGGAAACCUCGGGGACCGUGCUGGGCAUGCGGUAGGAAAGGGCAUGUAGCUAAGGAAUGCAGAUCCAAGCAUCAGGGAAACGGCAGAGGGAGGAGGCAGCCGGGCCGUAUCCAGCCUCCUCCCACUGGGAACAUGCAACGGCCCAGCUACAGCAACCCUCAAUGGGGCACAGGGUUCCUGUGCCCACCACUGCCAACCCCUCAGGGAAUGUCCAACUUUGCUGCCCAGCCAAUGGUCCAACCGAACCCACCUGCGCCUCAGGAAUACCACAAACAGCCCCUUGGGGAAGAGGUCCCUGGGUGGCUCUGGCCAUGAAAGCAUGGGAACGGGACCUGUGGGUGGCCGUUGCCGCGAAGGUGGGCAAGCACCCACUGAUCGUGUGGGCAGUGUGUCCUCUCCACAACAGCUCCGACGACUCGGCCAUCUGCCUUCCCUUUUGGGUGGACACAGGGUCAGACGUCACCGUCAUCCCAGGAAUCCAGCCUAUAGGACCUGUCCAAACGUCACUACCCAUGAACUCGAUGAUACCAAGAGGACAACCCUAUACAGUGCUCGACAUCAAAGACUGCUUCUUUUCUAUCCCCCUGCACGAAACCCCUCACAUCGGAGCAAAAGCGCUUGCGAAAAAGUGCGGAAUCUCUACUGCAGACACAAAGCACGUUGUCGCAAUGUGCCCUCACUGCCAGAAGUUGCCACUAUGGUCGAGUGGUGUCAACCCCAGAGGUCUCAAAGCCUCGGAAGUGUGGCAAACAGACUUUACCCUAUGCCAGCUGUUGAAACCUCGAGUGUGGCUCGCAGUUACUGUAGAUACGUACAGCGGAAUGAUUGUGGCCACACAGCAUCUCAAGACGGACUCCAAAGCGACCAUCCAACAUUGGCUGACAGCCAUGGCAUGGCUUGGGGUUCCAAAGCAAAUCAAAACAGACAACGGCCCAAACUUCAUCUCAAAGGCAGUCCAGACAUUCGCCUCGAAAUGGAACAUCGCCUUGGUGCAGGGCAUCCCAUACAACAGCACCGGACAAGCCAUCGUCGAAAGAGCAAACCAGACUCUGAAAGCUAAGCUAGAAGUGCUAGCAAAGGCAGAAGGCUUCUCCAAUGCCAUUCCCCCGAGUGACCAAGCGCGCAUCCUGGCAACUGCGCUGCUAGCGUUAAAUCAAUACCCUAGGGGGGAUGAAACAAACAGUCCAGCUCAGAAACACUGGGCACCUCGAGCAUUAGAGGAGGGCCCGCGGGUGGUGAUCAAAAACGAACUGGGGCAGUGGGAACAGGGUUGGAGAUUGGUGCUCACGGGGCGGGGAUAUGCGGCUGUCAAAAAGGACGGGCACAUUAAAUGGUGUCCGCUUAAGUCAAUCAAGCCCGACUCUUCACCAUGAGCAGAAUGAGACUGAUGAGAGUUGUGAGUUUCUGUUUACAGGACAUGCUCAUGGGGCGUCCUCGUGACGCGUACAUCCCCGUUCCAGAGGACGGACCACCAAGCCGUCCAGCAGCGCCCGAGAAAGCCGCGCGGGUGAGACUCAGACAUCAACGGUGUUUCUGUGUGAUUUUGCUGUUGGGGCUUGUCGCCAGAGGGCAAGCCAGCCCAGACCACUACCCUCAUCAGCCAUUCAGGUGGGUCAUGCGACACCUUAGCAGUGGCAAGGUGCUCAAAGGAGUCACCACACCAAACACACCAUCCUUCAUACUCCGCUUUACCGACUUGUUUCCGGGACGACCAAAGGUAGACCCUUCUUCCCCACACGUCACACAAACGUACCUAACCUACUGGUGUCCAGCCUCAAACCCAGGAAAAAGCUACUGCAAUCACCCAGGGUGGGGAUACUGUGGGCAUUGGGGCUGCGAAACCAUUGUUACAGAUGCCAGACCGUCAGGGCCAGGGUGGGAUCCACAAGAGCCCGACAGGUUCUUGCAGUUCACCUGGGCACCCACUGGCUGCAAAACACCCUUCUUUUUCCAUGGAAAUUUCCAUCGAAACAGUCAUAAAAUCCCCAAAUUUCGGAAAUGCACUAACUACAACAUGACAGUUUUACAGCCAAAUCACCCCAGUUGGACCACGGGCAGAACAUGGACAGUAGCCGUUCAAGGGUCAAAAGAGUGGGUGAAUGUGCAAAUUAUCAGACUCCCAGCCUCUAUGUCCCAAUCAGUCGGACCCAAUCCGGUUCUAGUAGCGAGCAAACCCAGGGAAGAGAUCGCAGUUAACAGUAGUUCUAGCCCCGAUACGCAGAAGUCAGAACUAGUCUCCCCAUCCAGUCUCCUAGCCGAACCGAACCUUUCCAAUUCAUUCAUAAACGUGCUAAAUGCUACCUUCAUAUCGUUAAAUCAGUCCAACCCAAACUUCACAGAAUCAUGCUGGUUAUGCUAUGAUGCACAACCCCCUUUUUACGAAGGCGUUGCCUUCGAUCUCCCAUUCAUCUUCUCAAAAGUCAAACAAUCCACGCCAAUGCAGAUGGGACACCCCCCGGAGAGGCAUUACCCUGAGUCAGGUUACGGGCCAAGGCAAAUGCUUCGGCAAUGCAACCUUGGCGAGGCAGACGGGCAGUGUCUGCAAAGAAUUUGGCAAACUUAAGGGAGGGAAGUUCCAGUGGGUGAUCCCAGCUGCAUCAGGGAUGUGGGUCUGUCACCGAUCUGGAGUAAGCCCAUGUGUACUCCUUGAAAAAUUCGAUCACUCUAACGACUUUUGUGUCCAAGUUCUAAUUGUUCCUAGAGUCCUGUACCACUCAGACGAAGAAGUGUACUACCUCUUCGAACAAACCAGCCGUCUCCACAAAAGAGAAAUAUUGACAGGUUUAACCAUAGCCAUGCUGCUCGGCCUGGGAGCAGCCGGAACGGCCACAGGCGUCUCAGCCCUAGCGACCCAACACCAAGGACUGUCCCAACUGCAAAUGACCAUCGAUGAGGACCUGCAAAGGAUCGAGAAGUCCAUCUCUUCGCUGGAAAAAUCCCUUUCCUCACUCUCAGAAGUUGUCCUCCAAAAUAGGAGAGGACUGGACCUCUUGUUCAUGCAGCAGGGGGGCCUGUGUGCUGCCUUGAAAGAGGAAUGCUGCUUUUAUGCAGACCACACCGGAGUCGUCAGGGACUCCAUGGCCGAACUGAGAAACCGGCUGAACCAGAGAAAAAUGGACAGAGAAGCUCAACAGGGCUGGUUCGAGUCGUGGUUCAACCAGUCUCCAUGGCUCACCACGCUGAUUUCUACCCUAAUAGGCCCAAUCACUAUAAUCUUACUAACCCUAAUCUUCGGGCCUUGCAUAUUAAACAAACUAGUGUUAUUCGUUAAAAGGCGUUUAGAAACGGCAAACAUUUUGUUUCUCGAGCGCCGACAAUUACUUUAAAGCAUGCUAAAGUUACUAACACACGAUUUUACACUAAUCCUACUAACCCAUGAAAUUUUGUAACCUUUACAUUUUAUAACUUUAUGAGAUUUUUACUAAUCAUGGUGGGGGGGGGAAAUGUGGGAGAGUUAGGGAUUGCGGCCGGAAGAUCUCGGGCUGGUACGCGUAGACAGGAAGACCCCUCCUCACCUUCAGUCUGACCUUGGCUACCUGGCUGCACCCAGGACAAGGGCAGAGGAAGUGACACAAACUACCUAAGCCAUAAAUACCCCUGAAACCUUUGAAUAAACGCCAUUUGCUAUCCACCA